rfam:Chelonia mydas contig84604, whole genome shotgun sequence.
GGCUGGCUAGCUCAGUUGGUAGAGCAUCAGACUUAAUCUGAGGGUCCAGGGUUCAAGCCCCUGGUCAGAUA